rnacentral:misc_RNA from 1 species
CAGUGUUUGUGUCGGUGUCGUAGCCGGCGCGCCACUUUUUUGUUUAGUUGGUUGUGUGUGUGUGUGUGUGUGGUUUGGUCUUUGGUCGUUGGCUCAACCUAGGCCAGACACGGACACGGACAAACAACCGCAAAAGAACAAUCUAUGUAUCGAUGGAUUCUUGGAAUCAAAA